GUCAUGGCGGCGCUGGCGCGGGCGCAGCGUUUCCGCCGCGGCCCCGCCUGCGUGCGGAGGCCGCUGCCGCGGGCGGCAGGAGACGCUGCGGCCUGCCGCGGGGGGCCCGGCGCCCGCCGUGGGGCCGGCGGGAGUGAGGUGCUUGAAAAAGGCUUUAAAAGGGGGAUUGCGCUGUCAACAGGGUCCUUUCUGGUUUAUGAAACUUACAGGCUGAUUUCUCGCUUUGCUGAGGUUCAUGCAAGCUUCAAAG